GUGAAGUUUUAUUCUUGCUUAGUUCGUUCAGUUUUUGUUUGUUUUAUAUGUGAGUUUGUGCGUGAUUUUUUAAUCUCUAGAUGGGUUUUGAAGGGUUAUUUAUUCUCAUUAGUUAGUAUUGGUUGGUCAAGUAUUCUUGUAUUUAGCAAUUCAUUUUAGUUUCGGUUAAAUUUUGUGCCAGCAGCCGCGGUUAUACCUUGGGGGCGUUUGAAUGUGUUCGGCGUAAGAUAGUUUUAUGAUUUGAUUUUUGUUGAAUUUUGUUUUGGUGGUUAUUGGGUGAAAUUUUUAUUGCUGUUAUUAUUUUUUGUUUGCUUAGAGGCUAUGAAAUUCUUUUUAUAGACUAGGAUUAGAUACCCUAUUAUUUUGGAAUGUUAAGUGUUGUUUGUCUGAGUAGUAUUAGUUAUGUUCUUGAAACUUAAAGAAUUUGGCGGUAUCUUAUUCCAUCCAGAGGAAUCUGUCUCGUCAUCGAUAGUCCACGUUGGACCUUACUUAGUUGCUUUGGUUUGUAUACCGCCGUUUAUUGAUUAUCUUUUUAGAGUUGUUUUAAAUUUUCUGGUUUCUUUGUUUAGAUUUAUUUCAGGUCAAGGUGCAGCUUGUUUCUAGGUGGUAUGAUGGAUUACAUUGUUAUUUGUUUAUUGGAUUGCUGGUUUUAAUAUCGGCAUGAAAUUGGAUUUGGUUGUAAUGUUUUGUAGAUUGUUUUCAUGAUAAUUGGUUCUGGGAUAUGUACACAUCGCCCGUCGCUCUCGUUUAUUUUAAUGAGAUAAGUCGUAACAAAGUGGUUGUACCGGAAGGUGCAGCUGGAUUGAU
rnacentral:ncRNA from 2 species